UACGUAGGGGGCGAGCGUUGUCCGGAUUUAUUGGGCGUAAAGAGCGUGUAGGCGGCCAGGUAGGUCUGCUGUGAAAACUCGAGGCUCAACCUCGAGACGUCGGCGGAAACCAUCUGGCUAGAGUCCGGAAGAGGAGAGUGGAAUUCCUGGUGUAGCGGUGAAAUGCGUAGAUAUCAGGAGGAACACCUGCGGUGUAGACGGCUUACUGGACCACCACUGACGCUGAGGCACGAAAGCGUGGGUAGCAAACAGG
rnacentral:rRNA from 1 species